GUACGGAGGGAGCAAGCGUUGUUCGGAAUCACUGGGCGUAAAGCGAGUGUAGGUUGUCAGGUAAGUAGGAUGUGAAAGCCCGGGGCUCAACCCCGGAAUUGCACUCUAAACUGCCUGGCUAGAGUCCCGGAGAGGGAGGUGGAAUUCCGAGUGUAGAGGUGAAAUUCGUAGAUAUUCGGAGGAACACCAGAGGCGAAGGCGACCUCCUGGACGGUGACUGACACUGAGACUCGAAAGCGUGGGGAGCAAACAGGAUUAGAAACCCGAGUAGUCC
rnacentral:rRNA from 1 species